rnacentral:rRNA from 1 species
UAGAGGUCUAGCCUGCCCAGUGACCAAUUUAACGGCCGCGGUACCCUAACCGUGCAAAGGUAGCAUAAUCACUUGUUUCUUAAAUGGGGACUAGUAUCAAUGGCAUCACGAAGACUACACUGUCUCCCCUUUAAAAUCAAUGAAACUGAUCCCCUCGUGAAGAAGCGAGGAUAUAAAUAUAAGACGAGAAGACCCCAUGGAGCUUUAAACGAACUUCAAUUGCUCCCCUCCUUACCAUAUAAGUUGAGCACUAAUGAUAGGUAGUUUUCGGUUGGGGCGACCGCGGAGUAAAACAAAACCUCCACAAUGAAUGUAAUAAAUACUAAUAAAAGAACCACAAUUCUAAUAAUCAAAAAUUUGACAUAAAUUGACCCAAACACUUGAUCAAUGAACCAAGUUACCCUGGGGAUAACAGCGCAAUCCAUUUUAAGAGCCCUUAUCGACAAAUGGGUUUACGACCUCGAUGUUGGAUCAGGGUAUCCCAGUGGUGCAGCCGCUACUAAUGGUUCGUUUGUUCAACGAUUAAAACCCUACGUGAUCUG